rnacentral:lncRNA from 1 species
AAUAUUUUACAAAUUCAACGUUUAAACAUCAUUCAGAGAAAAAGUAAAAAAUCUCUUUGGAUACUGAUAUGACCUCCUUGCUGACGAAAAAUACGUUGAAGAACUAUGAGUCUUGACGUUAAAGUGAGGGUUUAAAAGAAAAAAAUAAAAUAAAAAAAAUUGGAGCGACCUUUGGCUUCUUGAUGAAAUAGAGAACGUCAUAACCCCGUAUAAUUCGACGUAAUAUUGGUACUCUGGUAAAAGCACACAAUUAAUGGUGCCAACCACUCAAAU